rnacentral:rRNA from 1 species
CCAACCGGGAUUGCCUUAGUAACGGCGAGUGAAGCGGCAAAAGCUCAAAUUUGAAAUCUGGUACCUUCGGUGCCCGAGUUGUAAUUUGGAGAGGGCAACUUUGGGGCCGUUCCUUGUCUAUGUUCCUUGGAACAGGACGUCAUAGAGGGUGAGAAUCCCGUGUGGCGAGGAGUGCGGUUCUUUGUAAAGUGCCUUCGAAGAGUCGAGUUGUUUGGGAAUGCAGCUCUAAGUGGGUGGUAAAUUCCAUCUAAAGCUAAAUAUUGGCGAGAGACCGAUAGCGAACAAGUACAGUGAUGGAAAGAUGAAAAGAACUUUGAAAAGAGAGUGAAAAAGUACGUGAAAUUGUUGAAAGGGAAGGGCAUUUGAUCAGACAUGGUGUUUUGUGCCCUCUGCUCCUUGUGGGUAGGGGAAUCUCGCAUUUCACUGGGCCAGCAUCAGUUUUGGUGGCAGGAUAAAUCCAUAGGAAUGUAGCUUGCCUCGGUAAGUAUUAUAGCCUGUGGGAAUACUGCCAGCUGGGACUGAGGACUGCGACGUAAGUCAAGGAUGCUGGCAUAAUGGUUAUAUGCCGCCCGUCUUGAAACACGGACCUCCUGUGUGAAGUGAU